CGGGGCAGUUAGCAAAUUAGGCUGCGCGUUCGCUUCUGCUAGAGGGCGGGGCCGGAGGUUUCGAUUAGUUGUCUCUGCCGCUGGGGAAGGUAAAGCGGCGACGGCGUCCUCAGGAGCUGUGGGGUCCCCUGCUAGAAGUGGGGGACUCGGCGGGGGAAUUGUUUAAUACUUCA
rnacentral:lncRNA from 1 species